rnacentral:rRNA from 1 species
AGCGUAGGAGACAAACGUUAUCCGGAGUUACUGGGCGUAAAGGGCGUGCAGGUGGCUUGAUAAGUUCGGCGUGAAAUUUCCCGGCUUAACCGGGGGAUGUCGUCGGAGACUGUCGAGCUAGAGGGUGAUAGAGGCGUGUGGAAUUCCGGGUGUAGUGGUGAAAUGCGUAGAGAUCCGGAGGAACACCAGUGGCGAAGGCGACACGCUGGGUCAUACCUGACACUAAAACGCGACAGCAUGGGGAGCGAACGGG